UCUCAGAAAUGAAUUCACUAAAAUCAGACUUGGUUCAAGUCACACAUGCACUUCUGAAUGAAUGUGAAUUUGCUGUGCAUUAUGAAAGCCUAACCUGGAGGAAGAUAUUUAAAACUAUUGCGAGCAGUGCGAAUUGCUAUACAGUGCCUCACUCCCACUGAAUUUUAGACUGUCUUCAUUAUUAAGAAGAUUUAUAUUUCAUCUUUUAUAGAAAGAUAAGUGACAUAUGCCAACAUGGAAAAAAUCACAGCACAGGCCCUGGUGGCUGGUGUCAGAUGAGUAGGAGUGUGCGUAUGUCUCAUGUUUACUCCAGCUGUCCUGCAAGAAGUACAGACUGAGCUUACAGUGAGCACUGCAGAAGUGACAUUGCAGACCUCUACUUACCGAAUUGUAUUUUCAGAUUCUUCCAACAACUUUUCUGGAUUCGGAAUAGGUCUCCUCUGUCAGCUGAGCCCGUAAGUUGAAUUUUUUCUUUAAAACGCAUGCUGUUCCUUCAAAGCCAGACAUACAAG